CCCCCCUGGCAAUGGGCAAAGAGACACCUCAAUGGUGGUGUUGCUCUUAUAUCAGUCAGGGGCAGAGUAGAACCACAGUCCUUUGUUCAUCCUAGCUUGAUGCCUGUGUUGGUGGCCAGAGCUAUUUCAUGCCUAGGGCACAUAA
rnacentral:snoRNA from 1 species